rnacentral:rRNA from 1 species
CCUACGGGAGGCAGCAGUAGGGAAUUUUCGGCAAUGGGGGGAACCCUGACCGAGCAACGCCGCGUGAACGAAGAAGUUAUUCGUAAUGUAAAGUUCUUUUAACAGGGAAGAAAGAGAAAUUUGACGGUACCUGAAGAAUAUGCUCCGGCUAACUACGUGCCAGCAGCCGUGUUAAUACGUAGGGAUCGAGCGUUAUCCGGAAUUAUUGGGGGUAAAGGUUGCGUAGAUGGCAUAGAAAGUCUUUUGUAAAAAUGCUGGGCUCAACCCAGUAGGGCAAAAGAUACUGCAAAGCUAGGGUAUGAAAGAGGAAGUGGAACUACAUGUGUAGCGGUAAAAUGCGUAGAUAUAUGUAAGAACACCAGUGGCGAAGGCGGCUUGCUGGGUCGAUACUGACAUUGAGGCACGAAAGCGUGGGGAGCAAACAGGAUUAGAUACCCCUGUAGUC